rnacentral:rRNA from 1 species
CAAUAGCGUAUAUUAAAGUUGUUGCGGUUAAAAAGCUCGUAGUUGGAUUUCUGCUGAGAACGACCGGUCCGCCCUCUGGGUGUGUAUCUGGCUCUUUCUUGGCAUCUUCUUGGUGAACGUUGCUGCACUUGACUGUGUGGAGCGCUACCCAGGACUUUUACUUUGAGGAAAUUAGAGUGUUUCAAGCAGGCAUACGCCUUGAAUACAUUAGCAUGGAAUAAUAAGAUAGGACCUCGGUUCUAUUUUGUUGGUUUCUAGAGCUGAGGUAAUGAUUAAUAGGGAUAGUUGGGGGCAUUCGUAUUUAACUGUCAGAGGUGAAGUUCUUGGAUUUGUUAAAGACGGACUACUGCGAAAGCAUUUGCCAAGGAUGUUUNCAUUG